rnacentral:tRNA from 1 species
GGGGGGGUCGCAUAGCCAGGUCUAGUGCGGGCGCCUGCUAAGCGCCUGUGGGGGCUUAUAACCUCCACCGAGGGUUCAAAUCCCUCCCCCUCCG